rnacentral:rRNA from 1 species
CGGGACGGGUGAGUAACGCGUGGAUAACCUGCCUCACACUGGGGGAUAACAGUUAGAAAUGACUGCUAAUACCGCAUAAGCGCACAGUACCGCAUGGUACAGUGUGAAAAACUCCGGUGGUGUGAGAUGGAUCCGCGUCUGAUUAGCCAGUUGGCGGGGUAACGGCCCACCAAAGCGACGAUCAGUAGCCGACCCGAGAGGGUGACCGGCCACAUUGGGACUGAGACACGGCCCAA